UACGUAGGCAGCAAGCGUUGUUCGGAAUUACUGGGCGUAAAGAGUGUGUAGGCGGUGCUCUAAGUUCGGUGUGAAAUCUCCCGGCUCAACUGGGAGGGUGCGCCGGAAACUGGAGUGCUGGAGCGCGGGAGAGGAAAGCGGAAUUCCUGGUGUAGCGGUGAAAUGCGUAGAUAUCAGGAGGAACACCGGCGGUGUAGACGGCUUUCUGGACCGUAGCUGACGCUGAGACACGAAAGCGUGGGGAGCAAACAGG
rnacentral:rRNA from 1 species